CCUACGGGGGGCAGCAGUGGGGAAUAUUGGACAAUGGGGGCAACCCUGAUCCAGCCAUGCCGCGUGUGUGAAGAAGGCCCUCGGGUUGUAAAGCACUUUCAGUGAGGAAGAACGCCUGGUGGUUAAUACCCAUCAGGAAAGACAUCACUCACAGAAGAAGCACCGGCUAACUCCGUGCCAGCAGCCGCGGUAAUACGGAGGGUGCGAGCGUUAAUCGGAAUUACUGGGCGUAAAGCGCGCGUAGGUGGCUUGAUAAGCCGGUUGUGAAAGCCCCGGGCUCAACCUGGGAACGGCAUCCGGAACUGUCAAGCUAGAGUGCAGGAGAGGAAGGUAGAAUUCCCGGUGUAGCGGUGAAAUGCGUAGAGAUCGGGAGGGAUACCAGUGGCGAAGGCGGCCUUCUGGACUGACACUGACACUGAGGUGCGAAAGCGUGGGUAGCAAACAGGAUUAGAUACCCUAGUAGUC
rnacentral:rRNA from 1 species